rnacentral:rRNA from 1 species
UACAGAGGUCUCAAGCGUUGUUCGGAUUCAUUGGGCGUAAAGGGUGCGUAGGUGGCGUCGUAAGUCGGGUGUGAAAUUUCGGAGCUUAACUCCGAAACUGCAUUCGAUACUGCGGUGCUUGAGGACUGGAGAGGAGACGUGGAAUUCAUGGUGUAGCAGUGAAAUGCGUAGAGAUCGUGAGGAAGACCAGUGGCGAAGGCGGGUCUCUGGACAGUUCCUGACACUGAGGCAC